rnacentral:rRNA from 1 species
UAGGGAAUCUUCCGCAAUGGGCGAAAGCCUGACGGAGCAACGCCGCGUGAGUGAUGAAGGUCUUCGGAUCGUAAAACUCUGUUAUUAGGGAAGAACAAAUGUGUAAGUAACUAUGCACGUCUUGACGGUACCUAAUCAGAAAGCCACGGCUAACUACGUGCCAGCAGCCGCGGUAAUACGUAGGUGGCAAGCGUUAUCCGGAAUUAUUGGGCGUAAAGCGCGCGUAGGCGGUUUUUUAAGUCUGAUGUGAAAGCCCACGGCUCAACCGUGGAGGGGCAAUGGAAACUGGAAAAAUUGAGUGCAGAAGAGGAAAGUGGAAUUCCAAGUGUAGCGGUGAAAUGCGCAGAGAUAUGGAGGAACACCAGGGGCGAAGGCGACUUUCUGGUCUGUAAAUGAAGCUGAUGGGCGAAAGCGUGGGGAUCAAACAGG